rnacentral:rRNA from 1 species
UACAGAGGGUGCGAGCGUUAUUCGGAAUUACUGGGCGUAAAGCGCACGUAGGCGGCUUGGUAUGUCGGGUGUGAAAUCCCCGGGCUCAACCUGGGAACUGCAUCCGAAACUGCCUUGCUAGAGUAUGGGAGAGGGAAGUGGAAUUUCCGGUGUAGCGGUGAAAUGCGUAGAUAUCGGAAGGAACAUCAGUGGCGAAGGCGACUUCCUGGACCAAUACUGACGCUCAGGUGCGAAAGCUAGGGGAGCAAACAGG